GAGAAGGGAUCUGACUGUAACAUCUGUCAGCCCAUGGAUCUCUGGAGUUGAUUCUGCUGAUCAGGCUGGCUAAGUGGGUGUCCGUCUAUUCCCUCAAGGCUUCAUGCGUCCUGCUUAAAACUGCAUGUUCAUUUGAAGGGGAAAAACCUUCUAAUUGGGCUCUCUUACUAUAAAAACCAAGUGACCCCUCAAUAUAGCUUAUUGAUCCAGACGUAGGAGAGCAGGUAAUACAUGGUGCCCUUGGUCAUGCU
rnacentral:sRNA from 1 species